rnacentral:rRNA from 1 species
AUGCUAUUUCUAGAGAUAGAAGUUACUUCGGUACAUCGGUGACAGGUGGUGCAUGGUUGUCGUCAGCUCGUGUCGUGAGAUGUUGGGUUAAGUCCCGCAACGAGCGCAACCCCUAUUGUUAGUUGCCAUCAUUCAGUUGGGCACUCUAGCGAGACUGCCGGUAAUAAACCGGAGGAAGGUGGGGAUGACGUCAAAUCAUCAUGCCCCUUAUGACCUGGGCUACACACGUGCUACAAUGGUUGGUACAACGAGUUGCAAGUCGGUGACGGCGAGCUAAUCUCUUAAAGCCAAUCUCAGUUCGGAUUGUAGGCUGCAACUCGCCUACAUGAAGUCGGAAUCGCUAGUAAUCGCGGAUCAGCACGCCGCGGUGAAUACGUUCCCGGGCCUU